rnacentral:rRNA from 1 species
GUGGGGAAUAUUGGGCAAUGGGCGAAAGCCUGACCCAGCGACGCCGCGUGAGGGAAGAAGGUCUUCGGAUUGUAAACCUUUGUAGACAGGGACGAAGAAAUGACGGUACCUGUAAAGUAAGCCACGGCUAACUACGUGCCAGCAGCCGCGGUAAUACGUAGGUGGCAAGCGUUAUCCGGAUUUAUUGGGUGUAAAGGGUGAGUAGGCGGGCUGACAAGUCAGAUGUGAAAUGUUCGGGCUUAACCUGAGAACUGCAUUUGAAACUGCCAGUCUUGAGUGUCGGAGGGGUAAUCGGAAUUCCCGGUGUAGCGGUGAAAUGCGUAGAGAUCGGGAGGAACACCAGUGGCGAAGGCGGAUUACUGGACGACAACUGACGCUGAUACACGAAAGCGUGGGGAGCAAACAGGAUUAGAUACCCGUGUAGUCC